CCGAUAGGCGUAGGCGAUGGAUAACCGGUUGAUAUUCCGGUACCCGCUGUGAAGCGUCAAACAUUGAAUCCAGUGAUGCUAAGCCCGUGAAGCCGUCGGCUGAGUCUUCGGACGAGGUCGGAGUGGUGGAGCCGGUAACCCGAGCUGGUAGUAGGUGAGUGAUGGGGUGACGCAGGAAGGUAGUCCAUCCCGGGCGGUGGUUGUCCCGGGGUAAGGGUGUAGGACGUCAGGUAGGUAAAUCCGCCUGGCAAUAGUCUGAGACCUGAUGCCGAGCCGAUUGUGGUGAAGUGGAUGAUCCUAUGCUGUCGAGAAAAGCCUCUAGCGAGUUUCAUGGCGGCCCGUACCGGAAACCGACACUGG
rnacentral:rRNA from 1 species